GACGAACCGUGCGAACGUUGUUCGGAUUCACUGGGCUUAAAGGGCGCGUAGGCGGCUUGCCAAGUCAGGGGUGAAAUCUUUCGGCUCAACCGGAAAAGUGCUUCUGAUACUGGCGGGCUGGAGGAGGGUAGGGGCGGAUGGAACUUCCGGUGGAGCGGUGAAAUGCGUAGAUAUCGGAAGGAACGCCGGUGGCGAAAGCGAUCCGCUGGACCCUUUCUGACGCUGAGGCGCGAAAGCCAGGGGAGCAAACGGG
rnacentral:rRNA from 1 species